UACGUAGGGACCGAGCGUUGUCCGGAUUCAUUGGGCGUAAAGAGCUCGUAGGCGGCUGCUCAAGUCGAAUGUGAAAACUCGAGGCUCAACCUCGAGCCUGCAUUCGAUACUGGGCGGCUAGAGUCUGGUAGGGGGAUCUGGAAUUCCUGGUGUAGCGGUGGAAUGCGCAGAUAUCGGGAGGAACACCAGUAGCGAAGGCGGCUCGCUGGGCCACACCUGACGCUGAGACGCGAAAGCUAGGGGAGCGAACAGG
rnacentral:rRNA from 1 species